rnacentral:rRNA from 1 species
UACGUAGGGUGCAAGCGUUGUCCGGAAUUAUUGGGCGUAAAGAGCUCGUAGGCGGCCUGUCACGUCGAUUGUGAAAACCCGAGGCUCAACCUCGGGCCGGCAGUCGAUACGGGCAGGCUAGAGUUCGGUAGGGGAGACUGGAAUUCCUGGUGUAGCGGUGAAAUGCGCAGAUAUCAGGAGGAACACCGGUGGCGAAGGCGGGUCUCUGGGCCGAAACUGACGCUGAGGAGCGAAAGCGUGGGGAGCAAACAGG